AACGAACGCUGGCGGCGUGCCUAAUACAUGCAAGUCGAGCGGACAGAAGGGAGCUUGCUCCCGGAAGUUAGCGGCGGACGGGUGAGAACACGUGGGCAACCUACCCUGUAGAUCGGGAUAACAUCGAGAAAUCGGUGCUAAUACCGGAUAAUCAUUUGAAGUGCAUGCUUCGAAUGUAAAAGAUGGCUCCGGCUAUCACUACGGGAUGGGCCCGCGGCGCAUUAGCUAGUUGGUAAGGUAAUGGCUUACCAAGGCAACGAUGCGUAGCCGACCUGAGAGGGUUAUCGGCCACACUGGGACUGAGACACGGCCCAGACUCCUACGGGAGGCAGCAGUAGGGAAUCUUCCGCAAUGGACGAAAGUCUGACGGAGCAACGCCGCGUGAGUGAUGAAGGUUUUCGGAUCGUAAAGCUCUGUUGUUAGGGAAGAACAAGUAUCGGAGUAACUGCCGGUACCUUGACGGUACCUAACCAGAAAGCCACGGCUAACUACGUGCCAGCCGCCGCCGCAGUAA
rnacentral:rRNA from 1 species